GCCCAAAAAUUAUUUAUUUUAUUACGUAUUUAUACGUAAUAUUCAUCUUUUUAUUUACAAAAACCUAAAAAAUUGAUGGAGAAUUUCUUCAUCGGUCAUGUGUCAACUCUUAAUAUAAAAUAAUAGCUUUGAUAAAAGAAAGUCUGAUUUUUGUAAUGGGGUGACCUUAAAUAUUCAGACACAGAAAUAAUUUAAUUGGCCAAAUAUAUGGUAUCUUGUUUAUUAUCAGUGUAAUGAAAAAUAUAGAGAAAAGCAAAAUCCAAAAUUAGUACAGACACUUCAAAACAAUAGCAAUACAACAAAUCAUGAACCAAGUCACCAGAGUAUGGAUUUUUUCAUCAACAAUAACAUGAAAUUAACGGGACAAUGUAAAAUGAGAGUCCCAACAUUAGCAAAACAAUCAGCAAAUUGUAGAACGCUCAACAAAAGGAUGAUGUUCGUCGGAGAAAAUUAAAAUCUCAUCCAAAAGUUCAAAGUUACCAAAAAUGUCAAAGGAUUCCAAAAUAGGGAGAACAAAAAUCUUAAAGCACCAUAAAUGGACCUAAUUAGUAGAAAUAAACAUACUACUAAGUGAAUUUGUAACAAGAGACAAGGGUUGGCGUUGCUUCAAUGGCGGAUGCCAGAGCAACGCCAAAGAAGCGUGAACAUAUCCAGAUCAAGACUUUGUUUUAUCAAAAUAGUGGCAAAAGGGGAGACGGGAAGAGGUUGGAGGAGGUAGCCCGCCGGUGACCAGCUCCGGCUAGGCGCGUCAGACAUGGAACAAGAAAGAGGGGCGGCGAUUCUUGGAGUUCGAACCUCGCCGGUCACUACCUCCGGCAAGGAGCAGCAGGAAAUAGUGGGAGAAGGGCGGCGAUGCUAGUUUGGGGCUAGAUCUCUCCGGUGAUGAGAAAGAGGGGAAGAGAGGUGGGUGGUGGUGCGACUAGAGGCGGGUGGUCGGCAAUGGAGAAAGAGGGAGAGUUAGAGGGGUGUUGGUUGAUAUACUCCGGCAGAAUUUGCUGGAGAAGAAGAAGCUACGGUAAAGGAGAAAAGGAGAAGAAAAUUCUGAUAUAUGUGUCUGUAUGCGUAUGUUGUGUAUUUUGGUUUUCUCAAAAAUAAUAAAUCCC
rnacentral:lncRNA from 1 species